UUUGCGUUACAUCAACAUUGAAAAGUAGUUCCUUACCUUGACUACACAACAAAGUUGCACCGAAGAAGCACAGGUCAAAACGGAUCAAUCUCGAAGUGACGGUUAUUUCAAACAACUG